ACGCUCGACACCUACGGAAGGCAGCAGUCGGGAAUAUUGCGCAAUGGAGGAAACUCUGACGCAGUGACGCCGCGUAUAGGAAGAAGGUUUUCGGAUUGUAAACUAUUGUCGUUAGGGAAGAUACAAGACAGUACCUAAGGAGGAAGCACCGGCUAACUAUGUGCCAGCAGGGUAAUCUGAGCGGGCUGGCAAGGC
rnacentral:rRNA from 1 species